rnacentral:rRNA from 1 species
UACGAAGGGGCUAGCGUUGUUCGGAAUUACUGGGCGUAAAGCGCGCGCAGGCGGCCUUUCAAGUCAGGGGUGAAAGCCCGGAGCUCAACUCCGGAAUUGCCUUUGAAACUGUCAGGCUCGAGUACGGGAGAGGUGAGUGGAAUUCCCAGUGUAGAGGUGAAAUUCGUAGAUAUUGGGAAGAACACCGGUGGCGAAGGCGGCUCACUGGCCCGUUUCUGACGCUCAGGCGCGACAGCGUGGGGAUCAAACAGG